AUACUUCCGUGGCAGGGGAACUGCCAUGGUCACGAAGGCGGUCUUCUCACGGGGAAGGUUUUAUCCAUUGCACUGUGGAUGUGCUGAUCCCCCCGAUUUCCCCAAACGUGGGAAGCUAGACUGUAUAAUUUGUGGUGUGGGGGACUGCGUUUGCGCUCUCUCCUG